UGCUAAUAAAUUAGCACGUUAGCACGUUAUUGUAAUAUCCCAUAGUACAUACAUGUUAUUAAAACUUGAACUAAUGCACUGUGAGUCUUAUAAAUUGCUUACAUACCUCACCGAUUUCUGCAUGUCUGGAAAACGCUCGGAUUUAGUUCCUGUCUCCGCCUCCCAAAAUGUCUAGUGUAUUCGGAUUGGUCAGAUGACUACUCAACUGUUAUUGGUCAACUGGGUUCGGCGUGUGUUUGAAAGGUUACGCCCCUGACUACGCGUGGGUUUUCCGGUUCUGACUGAGAGUCACAGGCAACGUAAACAAGCGCUAUAUUUCUCUAUAAACGAUGGUGUCUGUACUGCCUUACCACUUCAAGCUCGAUCCAGAGAGUUCAAACGGCCGUUACGAUAUAAACGAUCUCCGUCAAUGAACGCGAUUGGAUUUAACUUUUUUAGGUGUCCUUAGCUCUGCCAGAAUGCUAAACGAAGACGAAAAUGUGUUGCAAAGACAUCCAAAAGGUUUUAAGGAGAAUGCAACAUGUUCCAGGGCCUCUUACCUGCGUGAUUCAUCAUCCAGGUUUUGCACAAAUUGUCUAAAUCCCUACACACAGAACAUUUAUUGUACCGACUAUAAGCCUUUGAGGUGCAGGACUAGAAUACGCUUGGAGCUUCCUGAUCAGAUCGGUCACAAUUUUGGCUUUCGACGACCCCUGCACUGAAGAUGGCAUGCAAUCACGUCCUCUUUUGAAGGUCUCUCAAACUGUGAUGCCAGGUCCAUUGGAAUCAGGGCUUCC